rnacentral:rRNA from 1 species
AUUGAACGCUGGCGGCAGGCCUAACACAUGCAAGUCGAACGAGUGGCGGACGGGUGAGUAAUGUCUGGGAAACUGCCUGAUGGAGGGGGCUAACUACUGGAAACGGUAGCUAAUACCGCAUACCAUCAGAUGUGCCCGGAUGGGAUUAGCUAGUUGGUGGGGUAACGGCUCACCAAGGCGACGAUCCAUAGCUGGCCUGAGAGGAUGACCAGCCACACUGGAAAUGAGGCACGGUCCAUACUCCUACGGGAGGCAGCAGUGGGGAAUAUUGCACAAUGGGCGCAAGCCUGAUGCAGCCAUGCCGCGGGUAUGAAGAAGGCCUUCGGGUUGUAAAGUACUUUCAGCGGGGAGGCGUUACCCGCAGAAGAAGCACCGGCUAACUCCGGGCCAGCCGCCGCGGUAAUUC